AUGUCCGGGUCUAUGAGGGACACUCUGUCCAGCAGGUCAGCAAAGCGCAGGCCCCCGGGCCGGGCUCGGUACACCGUCCUAAAGCCCCGGCUCAGCUGGCCUGGCUCUGAACUACAGAANNNNNNNNNNCUUACGAUGACCAUGUCAGUGAAGACACCUCAAUCAACUUCUAUCAAAAGGGCUUGUAAAAUUGAUGACUACCUUCUUGAUGCAAAUUUUUUACAAAGCAGUGGUAAGAUGGGCACUGAGAAACAUGAAUGUACAAAAAAAAAAAAAAAAACCACAUUUCAAAAGAAUCACGUUAAAGCACGCGGGGAAUAUACAACCCCAUACCAUGAAAUACAACAGCCUAACCAAAAAAGGCAAAGAAGAAGAAAAAUCUCUGAGACUGAAAAAGAGGUGCUAGUGUCAGAGUGAGUACAACCAAAAUAUUUUAUUUGGCUCGCUCAGUUGUGGCUUAACCAGUAAACAAACAAAAAAAACAUGGCUACAAAAGAGGACCAUUAUGACAAUUCAAGUUGCUUUAGCAAUGGCAAAUAUACUUAAAAUAAGUAGGUAACACUAACCAAUAAGCCAUCCAUCUUCCACAGCUCCCUCGGGCAGGCGUAUAGGCCAACAUCGCUGUUCUGCAGAAUGAACGAGUCGUGCGUUCCUCCUUGCCACCACAUUCAGCAGCGUCUUUUGCGCAUCAUAUAACCUGCACAUAAAGAGUGGAAGCCUUUUCUGUUCACAUAGUUGAAAUAGUUUUGGGAUGGUAAUUUGAUGGCAAUGUGGGUGCCGUCUAUUGCUCCGUUCCUAUUCGGGAACCCGUUGUUGGCAUCAUGGCAAAGAAAGCCCUCUUGACAUCAAUGUGUUGUGCGAUGGUGUAUGGAACUUGUAUGUGUAGCUAAGUUUUGCUGAUGACUUCAUCCAAAACAUUGGCUCAUCAAGGGCUGUGAGAUGUCGAACGGCAAGCCCCCACAGCAGAAAAGUACCCGUUGCCAACCACCCUUUUUAAAGGAGGUCUUAAAUCCUCUCAAAAUUCAAUGAUAUCUGAUGAGCCAAUCUGUGCUUUCUGCGGAAAAGGUCCCACCCGUCUCUACAAAAUGCAGCGUGUGCCUAAUCUUCAAACCGAGCAGGAUCAGCCAACACUCUUUCCAUUUUGCAUUAGCUCAGGCUUUUAUAGCAUUUCAACAAUGUUCGAAAUAGUUUAACAAACGACUGUACUUUAUAUGGAUUAUUAUCGAAACACGUGUACUGAUGCGGUCAAAUGAUAUCGUAUGUUGCAUAAAUCCACAAUGGAAAUACAAUGAAAUAAAAAAAUGAUUUAAUUAAUACUCAAAUAAUGUCACACAUUUUCAACGUAUAUUUUCCCCAUUCUACACUCAACAAGCAGUUCCCAUAUUCCAGCAUUUGGCACUGUGCGUAAAGCAUGAUCAUGGUCGUGCAUAAAUUUAUGCACACUCAAGCAAGCGUUCAUAUUCAUAAAUCUCACACUGUGUGGAAACGACUCUAUGUAUGGUUUACACACAGAUUUGUGCAUCUGCGUGAUUGAUAAAUGAGGCCCCAAGCUCUUAGAGACUUACCCAAAAAGACUGUCGUCACUGCCAAAGUUGCUUCUACAACGUAUGACUCAGGGGUGUGAAUAUUUAUGUAAAUGAAAUAUUUAUGCAUUUCAUUUUCAAUACAUUUGCAAACAUUUCUAAAAACAUGUUUUCUCUUUGCCCUUGUGGGACAGUGUGUGUAGAUGGAUGAGAGAAAAUAUUGAAUCCAUUUUUGAAUUCGGGCUGUAACACAACAACAUGUGGAAUAAGUCAAGGGGUACGAAUACUUUCUGAAUGCACUGUAUGCGUCACACUCAGAUCAACAUCAUUGGUACGAUAAAAUUCCAUUUCUACAAAAGUAUCACUAAUUUCAUGCCUAAUUUCAUGCCCCUUCUCUAGGAUACUACAGACCUGUGGCCAGAAUCAGUUUGUUUAUUCUACAAUAAGUCCUAUUUCCAGUCAGAUAUCACACUACCUCUGGGGAGAGAGGGACACAGGGUUCUCGUCCCUCUUAACUUGGGUGUGAUCAACAGAAUGGUGUUUCUCAAUGAACAAUACGGACAGGAGUUUUUCCUGACCACAUGAACUGACCAGGAGUACCUCCUCGCGGUAUGACCCUUGAACUCCAGUCAGUGUUUAAGCAUCAGUUCCUCUCAUUCACUCAGUCCUGUAACAGUCGACUCAGUGGCAGGGCUUCAUGGGCCUGUCACAGCAGCACAGAGUGGCUGGCUCUAACAGGCCUCUAACAACAGUAGCUACAGCUGCAUACGCUCUACACAGACACAGCAGCACGGCACGUCUCCCAUCAGACGAAAUGUCAAUUUCCAGGUUAGGAGAUAGGGGUCGGGGGUUACUGAUGACAGGGUGAACAGUUCACGGAGAAUCAGAACAUCAACAUCCCAUUGAGCUGUUUGUAAAUGCUUAAAACACCAGCAGACGGUUCAAGCAGUGAAGGAAUGCUUACUUGUUUUGAUUGUUUACGUUCUGUAUGCUUACGUAGAAUGGGUUAAUGAAUAACAGGGUGGAUAUCUAUUGGGUAUAUAAGGCCUAUUGUAUGUUGCUAUAUAUAUAUAUAUAUAUAUAUAUAUAUAUAUAUAUAUAUAUAUAUGUGUGGCUGCUGUCAGGGUACACAAAUGGCUGUCUGAAGAGAUGGGAAUAACAUCUACCUACGAAAUACACGUCUGUCUGCACAAGACCUCCCACACUAGCAUGGCUACUCUGGUAGAGUGAGAUGCAGGGUUAAGUGCAAGUUAGCCGCCUGAGAUAGAGGGUUCAUUUCAGUGCUGGAUAAAGAAGUUAGGACAGAGAUGUUCAAGUCUUCUUACGAUUCUGUAGCCUUCUGGGCUUAAUAGAGUGGUUCCAUGAGAAACACUGCUGUACAUCCCUGGGACUGAUAUGAGAGGAGUCUGAAGAUGAGAAUGGAUUCUGGUGUUCCUUUUUCCACACCCUAACCCUACACAGAUGUACCCCACCAUACCAACCCUGCUUCCCAAUCCAACCAUGACAACCCCCCCAUCCUACCCUCAGCCUUGGACAGAAGGCAUGCAGGGACAACAUGAGAGUUGAUAUAAUAAACAUCAAGUAACGGAACAUUUCAAAUGGUCCACCCACCAUGGAGCGUUGCUUUGAAUAGUAAUGUCUGUUCUGGUCCUAAAUCUUUAUGCAUGGGCACCGGGGCAGAUAGAGCAAGGUGAGACUCAUGCGUAAGCAACACUUGCAGUAGCAGCGGCAGCAGCAGUAGAAUCUUCAAAACAUUCUCAGACCAAACUGAGAUUCAAAGUAACAGUAGAAGACCCAUCAGGUCAGAUUGUCAGAUCAAACCAAGAUAUCCGAGCCCCAACGAAGUCAGACCUUCGGUCCUUCAGUUCAGUGUCUUUUUACUCACAGGGAUGCACAGACUUCUUUUGUUCUAGCAUCCUAUCCACUCAUCCCUCAAACAGUCCCUUUUCCCCUUUCCGUGCUUUCUCAACCCCGCCUCCCUUCUCCAGAGGGGAUGUGAGAAGUGAGGGAGGGGCUGCCCGUGUCCUGAGGGGAGAAUAGUAAUCUAAGCCUCAGUGGGCUCCUGUCUCUCCCUGGGUCAAAAGAGAUGAGGUGAGGGUUGAAAGGUCAGAGU
rnacentral:lncRNA from 13 species